AUGCAGCCGGCUCUUCCUCCUCUAUUCCCUCCUACCGUGGUUCCGGAUCGGGUGCAGGCCAUCAUAGUGGAGAGCAUGAGCGUCAAAGUCUUAAUAGUGGGGUGGAGCUGUAGGGAGGUAAGGAUGCCGGACGGAUCUGGCACCUGCCGGCUGAAGCAGCAGGAGUUGGCAGAGCGACGGAUGCGGACGAGGUCAUCAACAAGGGUUGUAAGAGAAGGAUCUCUCAAGUGCGCCAGGAGGAGUGGAAGGCUGAGGUUGUUUGACGGCCGGACCAGCAGGAGCAAGGAGCCAACAGUGGUCAAUUUCUUGCAUCCCAUCCCGGACUCUAAAAGAUUUUAG
rnacentral:rRNA from 1 species